UAAGACGGAGGUCCCGAGCGUUGUUCGGAAUUAUUGGGCUUAAAGCGCGUGUAGGCGGAGCCGUAAGUACCUUGUGAAAUCCCCGGACUCAAUCCGGGAACUGCUUGGUAUACUGCGGUUCUCGAGGCAGGUAGAGGUCACUGGAACCUUAGGUGGAGCGGUGAAAUGCGUAGAUAUCUAAGGGAACGCCUGUGGCGAAAGCGGGUGACUGGGCCUGUCCUGACGCUGAGACGCGAAAGCGUAGGGAGCAAACGGGAUUAGAUACCCCGGUAGUCUACGCCGUAAACGAUGCGCACUAGGUUCGAAGGUCUCUGACGAUCCUCGGACCGAAACAAAAGCGUUAAGUGCGCCGCCUGGGGAGUACGGCCGCAAGGCUA
rnacentral:rRNA from 1 species